rnacentral:ncRNA from 2 species
CUCUUAUCCAGAGUAGGUGGAGGGACUGGCCCGAUGAAACCCGGCAACCGGCAGUGAUGCACGGUGCUAAAUCCUGCAGGAAUAACUGGGAGAUGAGAG